UACUGGAGAUUUUGAAUGGCGUAUGAAAUUCUUGGCUAGAUUUUCUUCAAUAUACUCCUUGAAUUCAGUCAACUCAUUUUGUAAUAAACUGUAGAUUGGUUUGAAUGGCGGUUGUGCUCCUUCUUGAAGGUCAAUUGAGCAAUCAUAGGGACAAUGUUCCGGGAGUAUAUCCACAUUCUUUUUUUCAAAUAUAUCUUGAAAUUCUUGAUAUUGGCUUAGAAUGCCACGUGAAGUCUUUCCACCAUUAGAAACGAGUGUGGCAAAAAUAAUAUAUGAUGAUUCUUUCAUAGCAGCAUGCAAGAAAGCUUUUGUACCUAUAAACAAGGGUUUAAUUGAACUAGACUUAUGACUCUCUACUUGAUUAACUACACUGGUACUUAUACUUUCAAAGAAAGUAAGAGUUCAAGAAAUCCAAUCUAUUUGAAGGUUGUAUUAUUCUAACGACGAUAAACCUAAAAUGACUAGAUUAGAGAGAGAUCUAAUGAUAUUAAAUACUACAAAGCUAUUAUGACCA
rnacentral:lncRNA from 1 species